CUUUUCUACUUUAUCUACUCAUUAUAUCUCGUACUUUAAUCAUUAAAAGAUGAACAUACUCUUGAAAUGCUGACUCAUUCUGUUUCAAGUGCACUUAAUAUAAAUUGCAAAUUUUAUUCAGCGAUCAUCAGCGCAUCUGUUCGCUAGAUCACGCAUCAUAAUCAAGAUGUCAAGGUUCUUAAGUCCUUCUUUAUUGCAUCAUUGGUAUUUAUGUGCAUUCAUAAAAGCAAAAACCUUGAAUUUCAUAACCAAACAAAAAUUUUACCCCGACAAUCAAAUAAUAUUUGUUUUCGUGUUGCCUGGCAACGAAUUUCGUCCUUCGAAACUUCACGAACUUUUCAAGAGUGAACACUUUGCACUUGUUCUUGUAGUUUUCGUUCUUAGCUGGAAUAUUUCUCACAGUUUGUAAGUAUUGUUGAAGCAUGACUUGGCUUAUACUUGCUAAUAGAGUUACGCGUGCUUGAAUGUGAACUAGCUCAACUGCUCUGUUUUGUCAAGUAUUUGAAGUAUGACAACUCCAGUUGUUCCUGUCGUCACAACACAAUUUUCUGCAGUUCAAACAAGAUACUGGUCAACAGGAGUUUUGGAUGUUUUGAAGACAUCGAGUCAUGUAUGUUGAAGGCUUGAUUGUUCACCAUUGGUGUGAAUAAGUUGAUUAUUCUUAACCUUUUUUCAGGUCUUUUUGGUUUUUUCUGUCCAUUUUGCUCACUUUUUAGUCUUUCUCGGCGCAUGAGUGAAAAUUGUUGUUUACCAGUCUGUCCUGGCUCUUUAUUUGCAAUGCGUACUAAACUGAGGAUUGAAAAUGGAAUUCAGGGUACUUUAUGUAACGAUGCCAUGUGCUCUCUCUUCUGCAGUCCUUGUGUUUCUUGUCAACUAUCGCGAGAGUUGAACGCAAUAGGACGAUAGGAAAUAUCUUCAAAAUGAUAUAUUUUGAUGAGUCGCUCAAAA